rnacentral:rRNA from 1 species
AGUAGCACGCUCAAGACCCGAAGCGGAGUGAUCUAGCCAUGGGCAGGUUGAAGCGGAGGUAAGACUUCGUGGAGGACCGAACCCACCAGGGUUGAAAACCUGGGGGAUGACCUGUGGUUAGGGGUGAAAGGCCAAUCAAACUCCGUGAUAGCUGGUUCUCCCCGAAAUGCAUUUAGGUGCAGCGUCGUGUGUUUCUUGCCGGAGGUAGAGCACUGGAUAGGCGAUGGGCCCUACCGGGUUACUGACCUUAGCCAAACUCCGAAUGCCGGUAAGUGAGAGCGCGGCAGUGAGACUGUGGGGGAUAAGCUCCAUGGUCGAGAGGGAAACAGCCCAGAGCAUCGACUAAGGCCCCUAAGCGUACGCUAAGUGGGAAAGGAUGUGGAGUCGCACAGACAACCAGGAGGUUGGCUUAGAAGCAGCCACCCUUGAAAGAGUGCGUAAUAGCUCACUGGUCUAGUGAUUCCGCGCCGACAAUGUAGCGGGGCUCAAGCGUACCGCCGAAGUCGUGUCAUUGCAGCA